UGCAUUAAUUUAACAAGCUACUAAAGUACUAGCCGGGCAUUUGAGCAUUUUUUGUCCAUCCUAGCUCAGGGACUUAAAUGCUUGAUCAGUUGAUCACAUGGGAGGGGUCACAAAACAGGGGUCAUGGCGAUAUGCCUAAAAAUAUACACAACAGCCCGGUCAGCACGGUAGCGGCAGCGCACCAAUGCACCCCCCCCCCAGGGAAAUCUGCACCCCUCCUGUCAGAUCAGCAUUGAUCCACCC